rnacentral:rRNA from 1 species
UGGUUGACCAGCGGAGGGAUCAUUACCGAGUGCGGGUCCUUUGGGCCCAACCUCCCAUCCGUGUCUAUUGUACCCUGUUGCUUCGGCGGGCCCGCCGCUUGUCGGCCGCCGGGGGGGCGCCUCUGCCCCCCGGGCCCGUGCCCGCCGGAGACCCCAACACGAACACUGUCUGAAAGCGUGCAGUCUGAGUUGAUUGAAUGCAAUCAGUUAAAACUUUCAACAAUGGAUCUCUUGGUUCCGGCAUCGAUGAAGAACGCAGCGAAAUGCGAUAACUAAUGUGAAUUGCAGAAUUCAGUGAAUCAUCGAGUCUUUGAACGCACAUUGCGCCCCCUGGUAUUCCGGGGGGCAUGCCUGUCCGAGCGUCAUUGCUGCCCUCAAGCCCGGCUUGUGUGUUGGGUCGCCGUCCCCCUCUCCGGGGGGACGGGCCCGAAAGGCAGCGGCGGCACCGCGUCCGAUCCUCGAGCGUAUGGGGCUUUGUCACAUGCUCUGUAGGAUUGGCCGGCGCCUGCCGACGUUUUCCAACCAUUCUUUCCAGGUUGACCUCGGAUCAGGUAGGGAUACCCGCUGAACUUAAGCAUAUCAAUAAGCGGAGGAAAAGAAACCAACCGGGAUUGCCUCAGUAACGGCGAGUGA